CAAGUCGAGCGGAAACGAAUCUUCGGAUGGGCGUCGAGCGGCGGACGGGUGAGUAAUGCUAGGAAUCUGCCUUUUGUGGAGGAUAACCCGGGGAAACUCGGGCUAAUACUGCAUAAUCUCUACGGAGCAAAGCGGGGCUCUUCUACCUCGCGCAGAAGGAUGAGCCUAGGUCUGAUUAGCUUGUUGGUGGGGUAACGGCCUACCAAGGCGACGAUCAGUAGCUGGUCUGAGAGGAUGAUCAGCCACACCGGGACUGAGACACGGCCCGAACUCCUACGGGAGCAGCAGUGGGGAAUAUUGGACAAUGGGCGAAAGCCUGAUCCAGCCAUGCCGCGUGUGUGAAGAAGGCCUUAGGGUGUAAAGCACCUUAAGCAGGAAAGAAAAGCGCCGGAUUAAUACUCCGAGCGUAUUGACGGUACCUGCAGAAUAAGCACCGGCUAACUCCGUGCCAGCAGCCGCGGUAAUACGGAGGGUGCAGGCGUUAAUCGGAAUUACUGGGCGUAAAGCGUGCGUAGGCGGUUGCGUGUGUCGGAUGUGAAAGCCCCGGGCUCAACCUGGGAAUUGCAUUCGAAACUGCGUGACUAGAAU
rnacentral:rRNA from 1 species